AGACUACUUUUGCCAUGAUCUUGGUUUUGGUCUAACCGCAGUGCCUCCUCGUACUCUUCCGGGUCCUCUUUAUUUUCUUCUUCUUCGUGUACUCGAACUCCAAAAAGGUACUUUUUUUCUUCUCUCUCUCUCUCAAUGUGCACGGAUCCGACUGUGGGAGUGGAAUCGAGUCUUGAGCUGUUUCUGAUUGCGAAAUUGUCCUAUGGUUGGAUUUGUUAAGAUGCUUUUGAUGGGUUUUAUGUUUACUUUUGUGGAGGACGAUGAUGACUAUAGAUAAAUGAAAAAGAAAGGGUUAUGGCAAAUGGAGAAAGAAAUCGAGGGAAGGUUGUCGGUUGAGUGAGAGAGAGAGAGAGACGAGAGAAAUGAUAAAGAGAUUUUUGCUGGUUUAAAAGCAAAAGGAAACGGCAAAAAUGUAAUAAUGUAUACAAAGCAAGGGUAAAAUGGGAAAAAAAGUGUUAGACAAAAACACUGUUCCUCUUGGAU